AUUGAACGCUGGCGGCGUGCUUAACACAUGCAAGUCGAACACGAAAGGGGCUUCGGUCCUGAGUAAAGUGGCGCACGGGUGAGUAACGCGUGGAUAAUCUGCCCUUAUGAUUGGAAUAACAGUUGGAAACGGCUGCUAAUACCGGAUACGCUCAAAAUGAACUUUUUGAGGAAAGAUGGCCUCUGCUUGCAUGCUAUCGCAUAAGGAUGAGUCCGCGUCCCAUUAGCUUGGUGGCGGGGUAACGGCCCACCAAGGCAACGAUGGGUAGCCGAUUUGAGAGGAUGAUCGGCCACACUGGAACUGAAACACGGUCCAGACUCCUACGGGAGGCAGCAGUGGGGAAUAUUGCGCAAUGGGCGAAAGCCUGACGCAGCGACGCCGCGUGAGGGAUGAAGGUUUUCGGAUCGUAAACCUCUGUCAGAAGGGAAGAAACUACGUUGUGCUAAUCAGCAGCGUACUGACGGUACCUUCAAAGGAAGCACCGGCUAACUCCGUGCCAGCCGCCGCCGUAA
rnacentral:rRNA from 1 species